CAGUCGCCGCGGGAAUACGAAGGUCCCAAGCGUUGUUCGGAAUCACUGGGCGUAAAGGGAGCGUAGGCGGCGUGGUAAGUCAGAUGUGAAAUCCCGGGGCUCAACCCCGGAACUGCAUCCGAUACUGCCAUGCUUGAGGGUUGGAGAGGUAGCUGGAAUUCUUGGUGUAGCAGUGAAAUGCGUGGAUAUCAAGAGGAACACUCGUGGCGAAGGCGAGCUACUGGACAACAUCUGACGCUGAGGCUCGAAGGCCAGGGUAGCGAAAGGGAUUAGAUACCCCCGUAGUCCCUGUCUCUUAUAC
rnacentral:rRNA from 1 species